rnacentral:rRNA from 1 species
GACGGAGGAUGCAAGUGUUAUCCGGAAUCACUGGGCGUAAAGCGUCUGUAGGUGGUUUAAAAAGUCCACUGUUAAAAAUUGAAGCUUAACUUCAAAGAUGCCGUGGAAACUUUUAAACUUGAGUAUGGUAGGGGUAGAGGGAAUUCCAGUGGAGCGGUGAAAUGUGUAGAUAUUGGAAAGACCACCAAUGGCGAAGGCACUCUACUGGGCCAUUACUGACACUGAGAGACGAAAGCUAGGGGAGCAAAUGGG